GACGAACGCUGGCGGCGUGCUUAACACAUGCAAGUCGAACGGUAAGGCCCUUCGGGGUACACGAGUGGCGAACGGGUGAGUAACACGUGGGUGAUCUGCCCUGCACUUCGGGAUAAGCCUGGGAAACUGGGUCUAAUACCGGAUAGGACCACUGCCCGCCUGGGUGGUGGUGGAAAGCUUUUGCGGUGUGGGAUGGGCCCGCGGCCUAUCAGCUUGGUGGUGGGGUGAUGGCCUACCAAGGCGACGACGGGUAGCCGGCCUGAGAGGGUGACCGGCCACACUGGGACUGAGAUACGGCCCAGACUCCUACGGGAGGCAGCAGUGGGGAAUAUUGCACAAUGGGCGCAAGCCUGAUGCAGCGACGCCGCGUGAGGGAUGACGGCCUUCGGGUUGUAAACCUCUUUCAGCACCGACGAAGCGCAAGUGACGGUAGGUGCAGAAGAAGGACCGGCCAACUACGUGCCAGCCGCCGCCGUAAGAC
rnacentral:rRNA from 1 species